CCAACUAUAAGUUGAUUGAAUUUUUGACUGUGCGGAGAGUUGACACCUCUAACCCUUCCUCCCUCCAUCCCUCGUGGUUGUUGAAGGUUCAACCCUAAUGUGCUUCUGGUCAGUGACAAGUGACACUUUGGAUUUACCUAUUAGAGAAGACUAUUGGCUCUCAACCAGAAUGUUUUCUAAACUCUUCCAUAUACAAGGAGAGCAAAAUCAUGUUAUAACAUCCUUGAAAAUUGAAGACCCGCCUUAAGCAUUUCUGUUGACUUGGAAACUGCAGUCCAUUCCAUUGUCAGACAGUUCUGAAGAUAGGAAGUUCUUAAUACUGAAACCAACUCUGGUCUCCUCAUUCCUCAAGCAACUCUAGUCUGGCUCUUUUCCUCACCAUUCCUCCAA
rnacentral:lncRNA from 1 species